rnacentral:rRNA from 1 species
UACAGAGGUCCCAAGCGUUACUGAGAUUCACUGGGUUUAAAGGGUGCGUAGGUGGUCCGUUAAGUCAGUUGUGAAAUCCCCGGGCUCAACCCGGGAACUGCUUCUGAUACUGGCGGACUUGAGGCCAGUAGGGGUCACUAGAACUGACGGUGGAGCGGUGAAAUGCGUAGAUAUCGUCAGGAAUGCCUGUGGUGAAGACGGGUGACUGGGCUGGUUCUGACACUGAGGCACGAAAGCGUGGGGAGCGAACGGG